CAAAAUGUGAGAAGACAUGUAUAAAACAAUUGAUUGAACUAAAACAGCAGACUCCCUCCCCGCCUUCAUAAACUGUCUAAUAUUUUAUGAACCCCCCUUUUUCCUGGCUAAAAAAUAUGUGACCCCCCACUGUUUCCACCUCCCCACCCCUCCUGCUAAAUUAUGACCAGUCCCUUACUAUGUGACUACUCACCCUCCAGCUAUUCAAAAACAGCAGUUGACGCUCAAGCUCAGAUUGAACCUCCACUCUUUGAGUGCGAGUGAGCUUUCAGAAUAGAGGCGUAAAACUUCAGGGGCCAGUUGUUCAAAGGUGGGUUAGCGCAAACCCUCGGUUAAAAUUUAACCCGCUGUUUUAGUUUAUGUAUUUCUGCACGUCUGUUUAUUUCAAAACUUCAGAGAAGUAAACUCCUAUCGAUCCAGA